rnacentral:tRNA from 1 species
GCCCACUUAACUCAGUCGAUUAGAGCAACGUGCUAAUAACGCGUAGGUCACUGGUUUGACACCUGUAGUAAGCA